GACGGAAGGUGCAAGCGUUGCUCGGAAUCACUGGGCGUAAAGCGCACGUAGGCGGAUUGCUAAGUCAGGGGUGAAAUCCUGGAGCUCAACUCCAGAACUGCCUUUGAUACUGGCGACCUUGAGUCCGGGAGAGGUGAGUGGAACUGCGAGUGUAGAGGUGAAAUUCGUAGAUAUUCGCAAGAACACCAGUGGCGAAGGCGGCUCACUGGCCCGGUACUGACGCUGAGGUGCGAAAGCGUGGGGAGCAAACAGG
rnacentral:rRNA from 1 species